GCUGCUACUGCUACUGCUGCUGCUGUGAUAUGAAUACAAGUGCCUCUCAUCAUGAUUCUCUCAAACACAGGUACAGCAAGCAUCAAGACUAGUGAGAGUUCCAGUUCUAGCAGACAUGGGAAGAAAAGACACAGUAGUGAAACCUCACAGCCUUUUGGGAAACCCAGCUUCAGUUUCCUGAAGGAUGCUAUUCCCCUGUUCUGUCUAUCCAAACAAAGAAGUGAAGGUCUGGAGCAACUCUAUGAUAAGAAUGCUAAUAU